AUUGAACGCUGGCGGCAGGCCUAACACAUGCAAGUCGAGCGAGCGGCGGACGGGUGAGUAAUGUAUGGGGAAUGCGCGAUAGAGGGGGAUAACUACUGGAAACGCUGGCUCAUACAGCAUACUGUCGGAUAACCCAUAGGGGAUUAGCUAGGAGGUAAGGUAAUGGCUUACCAAGGCGACGAUCCCUAGCUGGUCUGAGAGGAUGAUCAGCCACACUGGGACUGAGACACGGCCCAGACUCCUACGGAGGCAGCAGUGGGGAAUAUUGCACAAUGGGCGCAAGCCUGAUGCAGCCAUGCCGCGUGUAUGAAGAAGGCCCUAGGGUUGUAAAGUACUUUCAGUCGGGAGGCGUUACCGGCAGAAGAAGCACCGGCUAACUCCGUGCCAGCAGCCGCGGUAAUUC
rnacentral:rRNA from 1 species